rnacentral:rRNA from 1 species
GAUGAACGCUGGCGGCGUGCCUAAUACAUGCAAGUCGAGCGAACAGACGAGGAGCUUGCUCCUCUGACGUUAGCGGCGGACGGGUGAGUAACACGUGGAUAACCUACCUAUAAGACUGGGAUAACUUCGGGAAACCGGAGCUAAUACCGGAUAAUAUAUUGAACCGCAUGGUUCAAUAGUGAAAGACGGUUUUGCUGUCACUUAUAGAUGGAUCCGCGCCGCAUUAGCUAGUUGGUAAGGUAACGGCUUACCAAGGCAACGAUGCGUAGCCGACCUGAGAGGGUGAUCGGCCACACUGGAACUGAGACACGGUCCAGACUCCUACGGGAGGCAGCAGUAGGGAAUCUUCCGCAAUGGGCGAAAGCUUGACGGAGCAACGCCGCGGGAGUGAUGAAGGUCUUCGGAUCGUAAAACUCUGUUAUUAGGGAAGAACAAAUGUGUAAGUAACUAUGCACGUCUUGACGGUACCUAAUCAGAAAGCCACGGCUAACUACGUG